rnacentral:rRNA from 1 species
GCAAGUCGAACGGAAAGGCCCUUUCGGGGGUGCUCGAGUGGCGAACGGGUGAGUAACACGUGGGUGAUCUGCCCUGCACUUUGGGAUAAGCCUGGGAAACUGGGUCUAAUACCGGAUAGGACUACGCGAUGCAUGUCGUGUGGUGGAAAGCUUUUGCGGUGUGGGAUGGGCCCGCGGCCUAUCAGCUUGUUGGUGGGGUGAUGGCCUACCAAGGCGACGACGGGUAGCCGGCCUGAGAGGGUGUCC